rnacentral:lncRNA from 1 species
CAAAUAGCCGCAGCCCUCGUCAUUCUCUCUCUACCUCUUUUCAUCUCUCUAAAAAAAGUCACCACCACCGACGACUCUAUUCCAGCCACCAGCACUAUCGGAGCUGCCUCUUUCUCUCUUAUCCUGCACCAACAACCGUAGCCCAGCCAACUCUAGUUGUUGUCCUAUCAUUUUGGCCGACGAAACCACCCUCAUCGGCGGACGCCAACCAUGGACGGUGAAUAUAUAACCAACACCGUCACGUAUCCACACUUUUCUUUCCCCCACCAGUGAGCUGCCUCCAAAACCACCACUGCCUUCAGCCGAUAACACCAUUCAACAAUCGGUGAACCCCGUUGCUACCGACAGUGGACAACAACAGCCGCACCAGCAAUCCGACGUGUCUACACCCUUACCUUCUCCUCCGGUGAACCCCAUGCAACUGCAUUUUAGAUCAACAACAAUCAAUAACAGCCACUUCUGCUGGUGAAAUAACCACCACAACAGCCUAUGCCGGUUGCUACUUCUGUUUUCGAACAAAUGCCAUCGAAAACUUUCAAAUACAUGAAGGAUUUACGGAAUCCAUCUCGAGUUUGUUUUCUCGUUUAAAUUCUUAUCUUAAUGUCCUUAUCUUUUUCCACCCUUUCACUUUCUUAGACUGAUUCUUAGAUUCAAAAGUGGUAAUGCUUGAUGCUGAAUUUUGGUUUAGUUAGUGUAAUUGCAUAAUUUUUAUUCUGUUUUUGAAUCUUAGCUGUGCUUUUACUUACAGUUUUAGAUUAAGUUGUAGGUUGAGACUUGGUUAUUAUCCGUUUUUUCUAAUCUGAAUUGUUAUAAUUACGUGGAUGUGAACUGUUUUCUCUUGGGUUGGUGUGGUGCAAAACUGUUUUCUUUUGGGUUGGUUGCUACAAUGGUCCUAGGGAUGAACUUACUAAGUACUUUGAUUAUUCUGUAUAUGGAAGAAAUAUCCAAAGAAGUGAUACAGAUGCAUGAUUACUAUGUGCUUUUCUUUAAUGUUUAGCUAGGCACAUUAUCCAUUUUCUACAUAGGUAUAUAUUUUCAAAAUCUUGAAGCUUAGAACUUCAGUCAUUUUCUCUUUAGUGUAUAUCAAGUCAUAUGUUGAUCUGAUAUCAUAUAACUCCUUAAAAGAGUUUAGGUCAUUUAUUCCAACGACAUAUUAACGGAAUUUAUCUUUAAAAAGAAAACUUUUUUCAUCAUUUCUCAGUAUGAGACCUAUUUAACUUACCACUUUAGAAAUAAAUUCUUUGAGAUAAGAGCUUUUUAAGUGUAUGGUACUAUUAUUUUCAAUUAGAAGUGUUACCUUCUGCAGACCCCACAAAAUUUACUUGGUUUAUUCAUAUUGUUGAUCAUCUUUCAUUUGAUUGUCAAGAUAUCAUGGUGUGGGCUUAGCAAUUAGAAACUUAUGGUUCACAUUGCAGUGCUCCAACUACAUGAUUUUGGUAAUGAAUCCAAGAUGCUUCCUCUACAGAGACAAGUAUUUAGAUGUCCUAUAGCUGUGAUAAUGUCGUCUGAUUGGUUAUAGUUAUCUAGUUAUGUGCAGUAGCUUUCUUGCUUCUAUUAUAUCUCAGUUGGUUGACAAGCAAUUUUGAUCUCAAAAGACUGCUUAAUUUCCUUUAUACUGGCAAAUUCUCGACGUAUAUUGAACAACUAUAUGAUAGAACAUCUUAUAGAUAACAAGGUCAAGUAUCUAUGUGCUUUAGGUUUUUGACUCAUUUGUUAUAUGUUGCUUUACAACUUGAAUCUUCUUACUUCUUUUUAUCCAAGGAAGUAUCUUUGUAGUUCAGUUAAAAUACAUGAAUCUUUCCAAGUAGUAUAGCUACUUCAACUCCUGCAUGAUGGGAGCUAUUAUCUACGUUGCUCGGACUCUUUAUUUUAGAUGCCACAUCCAUAUCGACACGACAUGGGUAUGAUUAUGUGAUCCUUACCCAAUGAGCAUGACCAAAAUUCACAGAGAAACUCAAGAGUGAUCCAAUGGUUUUUGUAAUGAAAACAAAAGCUAAUGGAAAAUUAAAUAAAAUAGUAUACCUUGUAUAUAGAAAUCUCUGUCACUUCUGUCCUAUUAUCUCUUUUCAGAAUUCUCCUCUUGGUCAAUAUUUCUCCUCAAGUUUUCCGUAUAGUAUCUCAAAAUUGUUAUUUAAUUCUUUUUUAGCUGAAUUUUCACAACCAUAUCUAUAACUUUUUGAAUCUUAAAAUUUAGAUCACGAAGGAUCCGACCUCUAGAUCUGCUCCCGCACCCGAUUCUGAGUAACUUAGGCUAUUACUAUUCCACUUUGAUAAAUGUAUUAACUUAUCUUAAGGCUUUCACAAUUUUUAAGAUGCAAUUGGAAAAUACAUUAUUGAUGUUACAUCGAUUGCAAGAAAGGCGAGCUAGUGUUUGUUUUUUCUUGUUUUUUUCUCUUAACAUUGCAAUUGACAAAGCAUAAAAUCAAUGCAAGUAGUGGACGAGGUUAUAAAUAUUUUUAUGUGCUUUCUAUAGGAUCAUCAUUUCUCAUUAACUUGUAUAUGAAAUGAAUACAAAUUAGCUAGAUUCAAUGUUGCAACUUGCUUCUUAUUACUCAGAUCAUUAAUUUGUUUAUUUAAUUAGUAUUAACCUAUUAUGUUGGUUACUACAAUUGGUUCAUUAAUAAGGCACUCAAAUGUAGAGAAGAUUAUUGAUUCUGAUGAAUUUGUUACAAAUUUUUGGUAAUCGAGCAGAUUAUUCAGGAGUAUGAACUAUACAAUAUAAUUUGUUCAGGUACACUUAAUUCAAAAUUUGAUUAUGACUUAUUUUUACAAUAAUUUUGUUGCUCAUGAAAUACCAGUUAUACAUAAGUAGAUGACUGAGAAGGGAGUUAUACAUAAGUAGAUGACUGAGAAGGGAGAUAUAUAAAAUUCUGUUACAUUAGAAUUUGAUGAUGCUGUGAUAAUAUGUUUAACUAAUAACUUAGUAACUUUUGUUCUACUUCAUGUGCAUGAAAGUUGUGUGUUUCCCUUCUUUUUCAUCUCUCUUAUGUGAAAGAAUAUAUGUGAUAAUGUCAUUGUUAAAAUUUAUAUUUUGAUUAGUUUCUGGCACUUUGAUCUCUAGAAUUCAUGUCACAAAUUCUAUAUUAUUGAAAAUGUAAUAAGUUAUUUUUAAAAAUGUCCUAAUUCUAAAACAGAGUAGAUAUUUUAUGAGUACAAUAUAAUGAUGUUUGUUUGUACUAUAUUCCGUGAUUGAUAAAGAGGAUUUUGAUUUUUGGGUUGUGCAUAUGUCUACCCUCUCUAUGCAUUGUUCAAGUAUAAAUAUUGUUCUAAAAGAAUUCUUGGCAUAAUAUCAAUUUUUCUAAGUGGAGUUUCUUUCAAGUAAGUCAUAUUCUAUCUUAAUAUUCAAGUACUUAAAUGUCCUUCUAGUCAGCAAGAUAAGAAUUGAUAGUAACGAUUAUUAAAUUUCCUUCAUUAAAUAGCCUUUUUAGCAGCUACAUAAACUGAUUCUAAUCUUUGACAGUUACAAGAAUUUCUAUAUUAUUCAACUCUACAUGUCUCAUGAAUUUCUUGUCAAUAUUCACUGUUCAUUAUAGGUGUUUUUUGUUGAAUUUGAUUGUUUUGAUAAUUCUAAUUAAUUUCUUUUUUACAUUUUGGGGCUUUGCUAUUUUUUCUUACAAUGAAGGAUACGAUUUCAAUAACAGGAAGUGAAGUUAGUCACAGAUCUACUAAGAGGAGUUUGAAGGAAAGGGAAUAGUUAGUCACAGACAUUUUAUGUUACUUUUAUUGGAUCAUGUAUAUAUAUACAAAAAUGUAUUAUAAUGUGUAUUUUGAAUACUUUGUGUUUACUCUUUUGCAAUGAAAAUUUUCAAUAUGAUUCUAUUUACCAAAAGUGUAUUUUUAAUUAUGUAUUAAUUUUGUAUUUUUGAUAAUUGUAAUUUUCCCUAAUCAUGACAAUUUGUAGUGAUAAUUAUUUUAUCGGUAAAAGUAAUAAUCUUAGCCACAAGAUAACAUCUUUAGCUACAAAAUAGUAAGUCAUUUUACAAAAGCAAAGUUGUCACUAAUUUAUAUAUUUAGGGACGAAACACUUUUUGGUAUAUAAAAGACAACAUUUAUUAACGAAAUUGUGUUUGUUGUGCUACAAAUGCAUAUAUUUUUACAGAAUAGAUCUUGUCACUAAUUAAUCUAAGUAAUUAUUGACAAGGUAAUUUCGUCGGUAUAAAUAAUCUUUCUAGUGACAAAAUCGCAUAAUUAACUACAUACAAUUUAUUUAGCGACAAAACACUAGAUUGUCUCUAUAUACUUUUAGCGACCCACGCUUAGAGACGAACGACUGACAAAAUUUUUUUUGUCAUAAAAGACAUUUCGUGACAAAGUAUGAUUCAUAAGUGAAAAAAUAAUUUGUUACUAAUGAUCGAAUUUUUUGUAGUGAUGUCUACUUUAGAAUCCUCCAUAUCAGUAGUAACUUUAUGUGCAAUCCUCAAGCUAUCCCAGAUCUCUUUGGCAUUUUCACAAGUUGAGACCCUGUUAUAUUCAUCAGGCCCUAUACCCCAAAGUAGCAAUUUCUUGGCCUUGUAAUUCUUCUCAAUUUUCUUUCUAUCUUUAUUAUCAUACUCUCUCAUACUUUUGACCACCAUUUUAUUUAUUUCUCAUUCUUUGACUUCUUUAACAGGAACAUGAGGUCCAUCAAGGAUUAUGUCAAUUAUUUCACUAUCUUCAACCAUAAUGAAGUCAAACAUCUUGGUUUUCCAUCACUCAUAAUACUGCCCAUUGAAUCUUGGUGGUCUAGUGGUACGUUGCCCUUCUUUCAUAUGAGGUGGAUUAACCAUGCUAACCAAGACACUUUAGGUGUGAACUUUUUAGAGUGACCUUGCUCUAAUAUCAAUUGUAGAAACCAUAGGGGUUGCGCCACACAGUGAGGGACCAGGUCCAUCAAAAUCUGUCACAGACAAAUCACAAUAAAAUAACCAAGAAUCAAAAGACAAUGCAAGAUGAGUCAAAAUAUAAAAUUUUAAUGUGAAAAACCCCUUGAUCAAGGAAGAAAAAGCACGGCUUUCCCUCAAAAGCACCAACAAAAUUCAUUAUAAUCAACCUCUUGAUUACAAACUCGAUUUUAGCCUAACUCUAGGAUCCUUUCGCUUUUAAUAACUCUACUACAAGCUCAUCUUGAUAACUUUGCCAAGGACCCUCUACACUAAUUUACUCUGAUCAGUAUCAAACUUAGGCAACUCUACCUAAGCAGUCUCUAAUCAAAUAGAAAAGUUCAUUACUCUUGUAAUAUAAAUAUAUCACUUACAAAUCAAGCCUCACUCAAUAACAAUAUCUAUUUAAGCACAUACAUAUAACUAAGAUUUGAGUAGUACUGAAAUAGAGUUUUUGCAAAAAUCAUUUGAUUAAAAAACAUCUUUUUCCUUUUAUAGAUCAGUGAUGACUUGGGCUGAAAUGUGAUAGGACCAGGUGUCCUCAGUGGUACCAGCUGCACCUAUAAAGUUUGUAACACAAGAGGACAAAAUUGUGUAGACACGCAUGACAACUGUACUGUAUCUAUGAACAUCCAGGGACCUGGUUCCUUAAAGUUAGCUGCUCAACAUCAAAACUACAUAUUGUUCAUGAUCUGGUAUUUGUUGUGAGCACUGAAGAAAGUGAUAAUAAAACAUCAUAUGCGGAAGCUAAAUUGAGGAAAAUUUUGUUACUAUGUAAUACUGAAAUAAUACUCAACAUGUCUGAACUGCUGAUAAAAACUGAAAAAAAGUCUGACUAUCCAAAAUCCUCAAAAACAUAAAGAGUUGAUGGGAUGAACCUCCAAUUAACUCUGACUAACUGAAAUAAAAAAAGUACUAAAAAUAACAGCAAAUAACAUUGCCCUCAAAGGAUGAGGAGUCACCACAACUACUGCUGAGUGGUACAUGAGUUGACUAAGGGUGAUUGGGUAACUGAGUGUCCGAACCUUUGUUAUAAGAUAACAUAGCUCAAAAGAGAGUAUGCGAUCAGUACUUUAAAUGUACUUGUACGUGAGAUAGGGAAAAGUGAAAUACACAUAAGUGAUGAGCAUGAAUACAUGAACAUGUAAGAUGAAUGCAAGACCAAGUAAAACACAUGCUGAAAUAAACUGUAAAACUGAAUAGCUGAGUAAAUGGGCACUUGGUUAUGCAAACCAGAGAAAAUAUGGUCUGAAUAUUGAACUAAGAUGUGAAAGCUAACAUUUAACCGACAUUCCCAAAUCUGACCUAAUCGGGGUUCAAUCUGUAACCAUAGUUGGAAGGGUGUCAAGACCUUGCCACAGGUACUGACACUGGCUGCAUGGAUCUACUAAACUGUGUCCCGAAGGAAUAGGGUGUCAUCCUUGACUAGAAGGUGACCCUAAUGAGUAUCAAUCCUCUAUAGGAAAGAAUACCUCUCAUACCUAUUCUAGCUACAUAGUUUUGAAACUCAGGAAUUGCUACUAAAGGUCUCACCCUCGACUGGUAGGAAAUUCUUCAUCCCUAAAUUCGUUUGGUGCUAAGUUCAACUUUUAACUAAACUGACACAAAAGCAUAAACUAGUACAUGUAUUGAUAGUUGAUUUGCUCAAAUAGGGUAUGCUGAAAAUACCAGUGCAUUUAUUAUCUUUAUAUGAUGAUAAAAUCAUGAUCUAAUUGACUUGUCGCUUGAAAUCCAGAACAUGCACAAACAUAUAGGUAUUGGGUGUUCAUAACCCUCCUGCACUGAAUAAUACAUUAAAUACAAUAGCAUUAACAUGAUACUGUAAGGAAAUUCAUGAUUCGUAGACCCAAAAUUUAGAAUAUUUCACUAAACUAUUGAAAUCCAUAGCUAUGAGUACGAGAAGAUGUUAAACUUAUGAGGACAACAUGUUCACAUGAUUUAAUCCCUAAAUUAAUAAUUAGCAUAGUGUCAACUGAACAUGAUAUGGGUGACUGAGAUUAUUAAGCAUGUGUAAAUAUAAUUCACAUGGGGAAACACAUUCUCAUGAUUUAUAUUCAAAACUAUUAAGAGAAAAUUGAGUAAAUUCAUAUUUGACAUUGAAAUUUCAUUAAAAGAGAGAAAAGGUUUUAUACUUGUAGAAUAAGGGAUUCUUUGGACUCAAUAGGUGGAAGGAAACCAUUGAUUAAUAUCACAUAUACCCGACUUUGAUUGUUCUUGAAGAAAAGUUUGAACUGAGACCUUGGAUCGGUGAAUUCUUUGAAGAAGCUUUUGAUUCUUUAUGUUCUUGAGAAUGGAAGGAGAUUGAGAUUCAUCAAAUAAUGCACCUUUUAGGUUUUAAGUCAUAAACUGGGUGUUUAUGAAGAGGAAAGGACCAAAAUGCCCCUUUAACUUUAAAGAAAUUGCAGGAUUUUUCACAGCCUCUGUGACACGCCGCCCAUCAUGGAGGAUAAGCUCCAUGACACGCUGCAUAUCGCGGUGACUAACAUCCAUGACAUGCUGCGUAUUAAGGAAACUAACCUUUGUGACGUGCUAAAAUCGUGGAGUCUUACUGCCUCUGUGGUCCAAAAUCAUUCCGAACCUUUUUAAAAAAUUUUGAAACUAUCCCAGAUGACCCUUUUAACAUUCCUAAACAUAGUUUAACUUAUCAAUCAACGUUUGGAAGUUAGGAAAGCCAAAAAUAAAAUGUUCAAAAUCUUUUGGUGCUAAAAUGGCCAUGUUACUUGUACUUAUUGUGAAAUAAUUUCUUUGUGACCUCUAAACAUAUGAUGAAUAGCUGAAAACUUGUCUAGGGUCUUGCGGGGUAUUAUAAUAUUUCCCCCUUGGGAUCAUUCUUCCCCAAAUGAAACUAUCUGAGCUUAGAUACUAAGAAGACAGAGCAUGCACCGAAUACUUAUGAGCUGAAUCAUUAUUAAAUAAAUGAAUCUGAAACAUAAUGCAUGGACUGAAUUGAAUUUAUGAAUGCUAUGACAUAAGGAUGGUUGGAUAGCUGAUAUAGAAAAUAAGAAAAUCAAUUUAAGGGAAACCAUUACCUCAAGCUGAAUCUAUAUUUGUAGAGAAAAUAUAUGGAAACUUGGCUCACAUAUCAUCUUCUUCUUCUCAAGUAGCUCUCUCAAUGGAUUGAUUCCUCCACAAGACCUUUACCAAGGCAAAUUCUUUAUUUCUCAACCUACGAAUCUGAUGACUAAGGAUUUCAACUGGGACUUCUUUGUAGGAAAUCCUAUUAUUCAUGCCCACACUCUCUAAAGGAAUGAUAGAAGUUGGGUCACCAAUGUAUUUCUUUAGCAAAGCGACAUGAACCACCAGAUGCACUGACGCUAAUUAUGCAAGUAAUUCUAACUCAUAAGCUACCUUCCAAAAAUACCUUAAAAUCCUAUAUGAGACAACAUAGUGGGUACUGAUCUUCCCUUUCUUCCCAAACCUCUUCACCCCUUUCAUGGGUGAAAUUUUCAAAUAAACCAAGUCUCCAACAUCAAAUUCAAGAUCUUUUUUUCUCUCAUCAGCGUAGGAUUUCUAUAUGCUCUAGGCUAUCCUUAGCCAUCCUCGAAUCAACUGAACCUUCUCCAUCACCCAUACACUAAAUUUGUCCCUAUUAAAGUAGCCUCACCUACUUUAAACCAACCAAUAGGAUAUUUACACCUCUUUCUAUAGAGAGCCUCAAAUAGAGCUAUUUGAAUUUUGGAGUAAUAGAUAUUAUUGUAGGCAAACUCAAUCAAAGGUAAGUGCUACCCUUAAAGUAGAUACAACAAGAUCUCAACAUAUACUCUAAAGUAUGAAUGGUCCUAUCUUCCUGACCGUCCAUCUGAGGAUAAAAACCUAUACUGAGACAGACUUGGGUACCAAGACCCUUCUAAAAAGCCUUCCAAAAGUGACAGGUAAAUUGAGUACCUCUAUCCAAAUUGAUGGUCAACAGAACCCCAUGCAAAUUCACUAACUCCCUAAUAUAAAGUCUAACGUAAUCCUCGACUGAAUACGAAGUAUGAAAUUGAAAGAAAUGGACUGACUUGGUCAUUCUAUCUACAAUAGCCCAAAUUAAAUCAGGCUGAUGAUGCUUAUGAGGUAACCCUGUCACAAAAUCCAUGUUCACCAUAUCUCACUUACAAGUGGGGAUGCUCAACCUUAACUUGAUGACAAUUUGAAUAGUUAGCCACAAGUUCUUCAAUAUCUUUCUUCAUACCAUUCCACUAAUAGAUUUCCCAUAAAUCAUGGUACAUCUUAGUGGUUCCUAGGUGAAUAGAAUACUAUGCACCAUACACUUCCGCUAAUAUUAUAUGCCUCAAAUCAUCCACACUCAGAACACAUAACCUACCCUGACAGCGAAGCACACCAUAUCUUCCUUGGGAGAAAACCUCAACCUUCUGAUCCUAAACUGCCUCAUUAAACUUGACCAAAAUAGGAUUCCUAUCUUGAUUUUCUUUCACUUUGGCCACCAAUGAAGAUUUUGAACCAUUCUAAACCCAUUUACUACCUUCGGUCGAAUCAACCAAUCGAACACCUAAUCUAGCAAGAUGAUGAACCUCACGGGCUAACUCCUUCUUAUCCUCCUCAACAUACAUAGCACUUCCCAUAGACAAUCUACUAAGGGAAUAAGCCAUUACAUUUGCCUUACCCAACCGAUACAACAUAAUCAUAUAAUAGUCUUUCAAUAAUUCAAACCACCUUCUCUGAUGAAGAUUUUGAUCCUUCUGAGUGAACAUAUACUGUAAACUCUUAUGAUUCGUGAACACAUCAGCAUGAACCCCAUAAAUGUAAUGCCUCUAAAAUGUUAAGGCAAAGACAAUUACCGCCAACUUAAGACCAUGUGUUGGGUAAUUCUUCUCAUGGGAUUUAAGCUGUCUAAAGGCAUAGGUUAUGACUUGAAACCCUGAGGGUUGCACCACAUAGUGAGGGACCUGGUCCCUCAAAUUCACUCAUAUGCAAAAUAUAUAAAAUAACUAGGAAGUAAGAGACAAUUCAAGAUGAGUAAAAACACAAGAAUUUAAUGUGGAAACACCCUUGCUCAAGGAAGGGAAAAACCACGACUUGACCUCACAAGCACCUCAAAAUCCACUAUAAUCAAACUCUUGAUUACAGUCUUCACUGAACCUAAUUCUAGGUUCCUUUCACUUGUAAUAACUCUACUACAAGCUCAUCUUGGCAACUCUACUGAGUAUCCUCUACAUUGAUUAACUCUAAUCAGUAUCAAACUUAGGUAACUCUACCUAAGAACUUAUCUUAACAAAAGAAAACACUACUCAUAUAGCAUAAGUAGUUCAAUUACAAAUUAGCACUCAAGAAUACUCAAUCACUCUUUAAGAAUACUUUAAAAAUAAGAACAUGAGCAGUACUUGAUCGGUGUUGAAUUGGGGUUUUUGCUGCCUUUUUUAACUCUUUGUAUGUUUGAAAACCCAUUUGAUAAAGAAGCCACUUUUUCCUUUUAUAGAUGAGUAAUGAUUAGGGAUGAAAUCUCAUUAGACCAGGUGUCCUAAUUGGUAAAAGCAACACCUACAAGUUUGUUAUAUAAGAGGACAAAACUGUGCAGACAUAGGUGCUAGCUGUACUGUACCAUGAACAUUUAGAGACCUGGUCCCUUGCAGUUAGCUGCUCAUCAUCAAAACUACCUAUAAUAAUUUUCCUCCUUUUAGAACAAACCAACCAUACAGCUUUGAGCACAUCCAUCAUAUUCAAUCAGUGUGAUUACUACUGUGAAGAUGAAUGUUCCCUCUAUCAUUAUGCUUCCCCCUAUCUUCAUGCAACACAGAGACCUGGUCCCCUGUUGUUCUUAUCAGCAAAAACUCUAAGCACAUUUGCUUCCCCCUGCCAUUAUGCACUAAAUUCAUCAUUUGCAUAAUUUCCCCUAUCACCAUUCCACACAUGACCACACAUUUUCUUCUUAGCACAUUACGUAGUACUUGGUCCCUGCACAUCACAUUUUUCACACCUGAUCCUUACACAUGAAGUCAGUUUUACCCCUUUUGGCAUCAUUGAAAAUGAUGAACAAUAAACUAAAAGCAAAGAUAUGUACAAUCUAGUAAACUCAUGACCACUAGAGCAAUACUAAUAUGAAGAAUAAUUUAAGUAAAGGAGAUAAUCGAGGCACACAAAUAGAAAUUCAUUCAUAAUUUAAUCAGAUAAGUACCACUAUAAUAUACUAAAAAGAAAUUAUAAAA